rnacentral:lncRNA from 1 species
UCCUCAUCUUGAUCAGGUUUACAUUAAAAACAUCUGGAUCAGGUUCGUUUCUCACCUGUUUUUACCAAGAUUUGAUCAAAGUUUCACACUCCUUUUUUCUGAUUUGUGCAUUGAAUAAACUUCAAAAUCUGUGUUCCUUAGAUCUGUUGUAUUAAUGUUCUUCUUUCUUUGUUUUUUGUAAUUUAGGUUCUAAAACAAUGGCGACAACACAAAAGAAACCGGGAAAGUAUGUGGACACAGAUUGAUAUAUUAGUUCACAUUAUUGACGCAGUUUUUAGUUUCUUUCCAAGAUAAUUGGUGUAGUUGAUUGAUUGCUUGACCAAAGCAUUCAACGUCACAAACUGGUUAAAAGUGGACCAAUUCUUGGGUUCCAAGUUCCAAUUAUUAUUCAGAUGAUAUAUGUAGUUG